AAUGCCCCUAAAGGUGUGCAGGUGUGCCUGCUCUGUCUCAUGUGCACCAGUGGGUGGCAGAAGGAGAGAAGCUAGGUUCAUGCUUAGUGUUCUGACUGAUGAACAUUUGAAUAAUUAGCAGCUUAGUAGA